GACAGAGGGGGCAAGCGUUGCUCGGAAUUACUGGGCGUAAAGGGCGCGUAGGCGGGAUGGCAAGUCGGUCGUGAAAGCCUUCGGCUCAACCGAAGAACGUCGGCCGAUACUGCCGUUCUUGGGGGAUGCAGAGGAGACUGGAAUUCUUGGUGUAGCGGUGAAAUGCGUAGAUAUCAGGAGGAACACCGGUGGCGAAGGCGGGUUGCUGGGCCGAAACUGACGCUGAGGCGCGAAAGCGUGGGGAGCAAACAGG
rnacentral:rRNA from 1 species